GUGUGUGUUAUUCCCUCAUUAUCCCAUUUACAAGGAGCAGAUAAAAGGUCCAGAGUUCAUUUCAAGUGUGCUAUUUGCAUUUGGAAUCUGUUGCUGUCAACUCUCAAUAUGAGAUCUAAAGAGCUGUCACUAUCGGUGAAACAAGCCAUCAUUAGGCUGAAAGAAACAAAACAAACCCAUCAGAGAGAUAGCAAAAACAUUAGGUGUGGCCAAAUCAACUGUUUGGAACAUCCUUAAAAAGAAAAAACUCACCGGUGAGCUCAGCAACACCAACAGACCCGGA